CAGCCAUGAAGAGAAGGCGAGAGACAAGCUCUGCGACCCUUCAGCAACCUGCCACAGGCAAGGUGCUAACGCUUGACCGAUGGCGG
rnacentral:ncRNA from 2 species